CAUAACCAUAAGUCUUUUUUUAUGGCUUCUUCUGCUCACUGAUAAGUAAUUAAAGAGCCGCAGUACCUUGACUGUGCAAAGGUAGCAUAAUCAGUUGGCUUUUAAUUGGGGUCUGGAAUGAAUGAAUGUAUGGGGAGUAACUGUCUCUGUGUGAUAUGAGGAAAUUGGUUAGGAGGUGCAAAUACCUCUAGGGAAAAAUUAGACGAGAAGACCCUAGAAAUUUUAAACUAUAUUUUGUUGGGGCGACAGAGUAACAUGCGAACUUACUUAGUAGUAUCGGUAAUUUAUAUAUAGUAAGAUUAAAUUACUCUAGGGAUAACAGCAUAAUUUCUUAAAGUUUGUGACCUCGAUGUUGGACUAGGGUACAGUGUUGCCUAGAAGGUACC
rnacentral:rRNA from 1 species